AUGAAAGUUUCUGAACUUACUGACGUGGAUAAUAGGUGUUGGGAUGAGCAACUUAUCAGACAUAUAUUCUGGAACAUUGAUGCAAAUCGUAUUUUGAAUAUACCCCUGGCUCCGGUGAUGAUGGAUGAUUUUGUUUCAUGGCACUACAAUAAAACUGGAAUUUUCUCGGUCAAGACGGCUUAUCACAUGGAGUGGGAUCAUCAACACGGACGAAAGUUGAGACAAACAAAUUCAGUAUUGUCCUCAAGUACUAGUCCAGUUUGGUGCAUUCUAUGGAAGCUUCGAGUACCGGCUAAAAUAAAAGUGCAUGUAUGGCGAGCUUUGUAUGGAGCAAUCCGGUGUGGUGUGUUGGCAAACCGACAUAGGAUUACAACAUCGGACUGCCCAAUUUGUGAAUCAGACUGCGAAAGUGUUCGCCAUUCGUUCUUCAGGUGCGGCAGGGUGCAAGAAAUUUGGGCAAAGCUUGGCUUGAACUCUAUUAUAAAUGAGCUAUGUGAAGCUGAGUUGGAGGGCUCGUCGGUCCUAGGAGAUUUGCUGCUGAUGCCCAAUGCCGUCGUCCCGUCGCUCCCGGGCGUGUCCAGGAAGGAGCUUGUGGCGUUGGCCGUGUGGUAUAUAUGGUGGGAACGCCGGUGCUUCACCCAUGGUGAGGCCAUGCGGGAGCCGGCACGUUCGGCCGAAGCUAUUGUUACUCUGACAAAGAACUUCAUGAGAGCAAAGAAGCAAGGUGCGAGGCAGAUCCAGCGGCAUGGUUGGACUAAACCACCUGAAGGUUUCGUCAGCCUAAAUGUCGAUGCUUCCUUCGAUGCAGACAGCGGCACUGGCGGAACGGGGGCCAUUAUUAGAGACUCCAUGGGAGCGUUCAUUGCGACGUUGGCGAGCAACAUCCCUUUCGUAGAGGACGCAGCAAGGGCAGAGGCUAGAGGCCUCAAGGACGGGCUGAUUCUGGCGAACAACAUUGGAUGCAAUAAGGUGGAGAUCCGAGAUGAUUGCAUGGAGGUGAUUGAAACCAUGCAACAUGGAGGGAAUUCUUUAGGUCCAGCUGCAGCCAUCUAUGAAGAGUGUUCUUUUUUAUAUCGUAAUUUUAUUUCCGUUAAGUUCUGUCAUUGUCCUAGGGAGGCCAAUAUAGCGGCUGAUUUGUUGGCUACAAAGUUGGAGCCCUCGAGAACUAUUGUGUGGCUGACCGGGGCUCCGGACUUUCUGUUUGAUAUACUCUCAAACAAUGUGGCCCUGUUUCCACAUGAAAUAUAA
rnacentral:rRNA from 1 species